GGGAGACAUGUAACCGGGCGUUCGGAGCGGCACCUGACACUUCGCGAGCAGGACUCUCUGUCUGUUGUAUCCACCCGUUAUUUUAUUAUUUGAAUUAUUGACACACGGUAUUUUUGUGUUUUUCGUUGGAUAUUAUCGUCGAGCCAAGACUGCAAAAAUGAGCGAGGAAGUAUCGGAGGUCCCCAAAGAACUGCUGGAGAGUGUGAAGGAUGCAGUGGGGAGGAAGAUGAGGCUCUCGGUGAAGAAGAGAGUCAAACUAGAGAUCAAAGGAGACAAGGUGGAGAACAGAGUCUUGGAACAUCAGUGGCCUGAACAGUGAUACAAUCCUAGGAGACUUCCUUACAUUCAUCCCACAGCCCAGGGGGCAUCUUUCACUCCACUGUGAGUAAUGGUCAAAGAAGUCUGACCGUAUGAUUUUGUUGAGAUCAAUGUUGGGCGUUUGUUACUCUCACACCAGUUGUGUAUAUGUAGCAUGAGGAAAAUGGGUUUUCUCCAAUUAAAUGUUUGUCAA